rnacentral:rRNA from 1 species
AUGAUGAAUUCAACACAAAAUUCUGCUGGUAGGAGACCAAGUACAAUACAUCGUCAACUUGGUAAUGAUAUUUAUGUUCACUUCAAUUUAUGCCAUAGCAGCAAAGGAACUCAAGAACAAUCUGACACUCACGUGUCUGCUAAUGACAUGUGUGCACCGGAUGAAUGGCCGUCCCAUGCUCGCCGCAACCAUGCACAGCUGCAGAAUGAAAGUGAUGGACAGAAGAAGAAAGGGCGAGGUGUUCUAAAAGGUUUUAAAUCAAGCAAGAAGCGUUUUGCCAAUGGAUUUGCAAAGCUAAUAUUGCAUUCUCUGAAAAUUUGGGUGGUACAGUAG